rnacentral:miRNA from 1 species
GUUGCUUGGGGGUAUUACUA